GUUUAAAUAGUUUAAGAAAAAUAUUGAUUUGUGGUGUCAUUGAUGAGAAUUAUUCUCUUUAAACC
rnacentral:tRNA from 1 species